UUACGACCAUAUCAAGUUGAGACAUCGGUUCCCGUAUAAUCACCGAAGUUAAGUAACAUCGAGUCUGGCCAGUACUUAGAUGGGUGACCAACUGAGAAUAUCAGAUUC